UACGUAGGGGGCUAGCGUUGUCCGGAUUUAUUGGGCGUAAAGAGCGUGUAGGCGGCCAGGUAGGUCUGGUGUGAAAACUCGAGGCUUAACCUCGAGAUGUCAUCGGAAACCAUCUGGCUAGAGUCCGGAAGAGGAGAGUGGAAUUUCUGGUGUAGCGGUGAAAUGCGCAGAUAUCAGGAAGAACACCAAUGGCGAAAGCAGCUCUCUGGGACGGUACUGACGCUGAGGUGCGAAAGCGUGGGAGCAACGGG
rnacentral:rRNA from 1 species